UGGCCGGAAUGUACUGUGAAGAUUCGAACGGCGGCAUUGGCAUUUAAAAAGUCAAAUGGUUGAAGCAAUGAUAUGACUCAAAUAGAAAGAGAAACACUCUUUACCUCACUCUCUUAAUUAUUUUUCCACAUAGGCAACGCAAAUUACCCGAAACGAAACGAAACGAAACGCAGCAGCAGCCUCUCUCUCUAUAACUUUCUCUCUCUAACAUUCGAUUAUCGUGAUGGAGAGCCUCCCGCUGGAGACGGCGGAGAAGAUAAUCCUCCGGUGGGACUCGACGGCGUCGGAGGAGGCGCGCGACAAGAUGAUAUUCUCCGGCGACAGGGAGGACGCCGAUCUCUACCUGCAGGCGGUGGACGAAAUCCAGCGCUCGCUCUCCUCCGUCACAGUCUCCGAUAAAGUGAACUCCGCCAUUCAGAUCGCGAUGGCGCGCUUGGAAGACGAGUUCCGGAACAUCCUCAUCUCGCACACCAACGCCUCCUUCGACCCUACCUCAGAAGAAGAAUCUCACCAACCGAAUCAAGACCCUCCUUCUUCCUCUUCCUCGCCGAAGCACCCUCGCAACAACGACGAUAGCGACGAAGUUGAGAAGACCUCGCUGCUCCUCCGCUUCGACAGCGACGGCGCCGCCUCCAGCGCCGCCAGCAGCUACCGCUCCACGAGCAGCAUCCGCGAGCUCGAUCUCCUCCCCGCCGACGCCGUCUACGACCUCCGCUGCAUCGCCGAGCGCAUGGUCUCCUCCGGCUACCUCCGCGAGUGCAUCCAGGUCUACGGCAGCGUCAGAAAAUCCUCCGUCGACGCGAGCUUCCGCAAGCUCGGCGUCGAGAAGCUCAGCAUCGGCGACGUGCAGCGCCUCGAGUGGGAGCAGCUCGAGAACAAAAUCCGGCGAUGGAUACGCGCCGCCAAGGUGUGCGUUAGAACCAUCUUCGCCAGCGAGAAGAAGCUCUGCGAGCAAAUCUUCGACGGCGUCGGAACCGCCAUCGACGACGCCUGCUUCAUGGAGACCGUCAAAGGUCCUGCUAUUCAGCUCUUCAACUUCGCCGAGGCGAUUAGUAUCAGUCGCCGGUCGCCGGAGAAGUUGUUUAAGAUUCUCGAUUUGCAUGAUGCUUUGACUGAUUUGAUGCCUGAUAUUGACGUUGUUUUUGAUUCCAAGUCCUCGGAGUCGAUUAGGGUUCAGGCUGCUGAGAUUUUAUCCCGUUUGGGUGAGGCCGCGAGGGGUAUUUUGUCUGAAUUUGAAAACGCUGUGCUUAGGGAACCUUCUAGGGUUCCUGUUCCUGGUGGCACGAUUCACCCUUUGACACGUUAUGUUAUGAAUUAUAUAAGUUUGAUCUCUGAUUAUAAGGUUACUUUGAAUGAGCUUAUAGUGUCUAAGCCUUCCACGGGGUGUAGGUACUCCGGGGAUCCUGGGAUACCUGAUAUGGAUUUGGGGGAGUUUGAGGAGAAGACUCCUUUGGAUGUUCACUUGAUUUGGAUUAUUGUGAUUUUGCAAUUCAACUUGGAUGGGAAGUCCAAGCACUAUAAGGAUGCCUCUCUGGCUCACUUGUUUGUGAUGAACAAUGUGCACUACAUUGUUCAGAAGGUGAGAGGGAGUCCCGAGUUGAGGGAGAUGAUUGGGGAUGACUAUUUGAAGAAGCUUACCGGGAAGUUCCGGCAGGCGGCCACGAGUUACCAGAGGGCUACCUGGGUGAGGGUGUUGUAUUGCUUGAGGGAUGAGGGGUUGCAUGUGAGUGGGGGGUUUUCUUCUGGGGUGUCCAAGAGUGCUCUAAGGGAGAGGUUCAAGGCCUUCAAUGGGAUGUUUGAGGAGGUUCAUAGGACUCAGGCAGUCUGGCUGAUACCGGAUUCACAGCUCAGGGAGGAGCUGAGGAUAUCGAUAUCAGAGAAGCUGAUUCCCGCGUAUAGGUCGUUUCUUGGGCGGUUCAGGAGCCACAUAGAGAGUGGUAGGCAUCCGGAGAAUUACAUCAAGUACUCUGUGGAGGACCUGGAGGAUGCUGUUUUGGACUUUUUUGAAGGGAUUCCUGUUUCCCAGCACUUGAGGAGGAGAUCUGAGUGAUGGAAUGGACUAGUGGAGUUAAGUGAAGUGAAAUGGAGUUUUGCAACUUAGAAGCUAGGACAUAUUCUUUUAAUUUUUUCCAUGGAGCGUUCAGGUGAUUGAGUGCUGGCCAAUCUGAGAUUGCUCAAGCUCUCGGGUGCUCCAACAAGAUUUACUACCACGAUCCAGGAUUCUCAGGAUGGAAACAUUAAGAUUCUCUAAUCUUGUGUUGAAGAUUGGUGUGGCUUGUGAAAAGCCAAGUAGCUACCUCACCCUGAAUGCUGCUACCUCUUCAAAUGACUCUUAUACAAUGUGAUAGUUUUGGCACUAAUAGAUGCAUGUUCAAAUUGAAAUCUCAGUCUUAGAAGAAUAUUAGAUGAAUGCGCACACACCACACAACACGUGAAUUGUUGAUCUUGUGACUUUGAUAAAAGACCUUGCUUCAAUAAGUCACGGUACAUUUGGUUACCAAGUAAUAAUAUGUACCAAGCCUUAUAGCUCUUGGUAUGGGCGAUCCGAUUUGAACUA